rnacentral:misc_RNA from 1 species
GAUGAAGAACGCAGUGAAAUGCGAUACGUAAUGUGAAUUGCAGAAUUCAGUGAAUCAUCGAGUCUUUGAGCGCACAUUGCGCCCCCUGGUAUUCCGGGGGGCAUGCCUGUCCGAGCGUCAUUGCUGCCCUCAAGCACGGCUUGUGUGUUGGGCCUCCGUCCUCCUCCCGGGGGACGGGCCCGAAAGGCAGCGGCGGCACCGCGUCCGGUCCUCGAGCGUAUGGGGCUUCGUCACCCGCUCUUGUAGGCCCGGCCGGCGCUUGCCGACACAUCAAUCUUUUUUCCAGGUUGACCUCGGAUCAGGUAGGGAUACCCGCUGAACUUAAGCAUAUCAAUAAGCGGAGGA